rnacentral:rRNA from 1 species
GUGGCGAACGGGUGAGUAACACGUGAGCAAUCUGCCCUUGACUCUGGGAUAACUGCGGGAAACUGUAGCUAAUACCGGAUACUUUCCUCGCUGGGCAUCCAGCGGGGAAGAAAGAAUUUCGGUCAAGGAUGAGCUCGCGGCCUAUCAGCUAGUUGGUGAGGUAAAGGCUCACCAAGGCGACGACGGGUAGCCGGCCUGAGAGGGUGACCGGCCACACUGGAACUGAGACACGGUCCAGACUCCUACGGGAGGCAGCAGUGGGGAAUAUUGCACAAUGGGCGAAAGCCUGAUGCAGCAACGCCGCGUGAGGGAUGAAGGCCUUCGGGUUGUAAACCUCUUUUAGCAGGGAAGAAGCGAAAGUGACGGUACCUGCAGAAAAAGCACCGGCUAACUACGUGCCAGCAGCCGCGGUAAUACGUAGGGUGCAAGCGUUGUCCGGAAUUAUUGGGCGUAAAGAGCUCGUAGGCGGUUUGUCACGUCUGCUGUGAAAAUCCGAGGCUCAACCUCGGACUUGCAGUGGGUACGGGCAGACUAGAGUGCGGUAGGGGAGAAGGGAAUUCCUGGUGUAGCGGUGGAAUGCGCAGAUAUCAGGAGGAACACCAAUGGCGAAGGCACUUCUCUGGGCCGUAACUGACGCUGAGGAGCGAAAGCGUGGGGAGCGAACAGGAUUAGAUACCCUGGUAGUCCAC